rnacentral:lncRNA from 1 species
CUGUGCAUGAUCUCCAACACGACCGCCAUCGCCGAGGCUUGGGCCAGACUCAACCACAAGUUCGAUCUCAUGUAUUCCAAGCGCGCCUUUGUUCACUGGUACGUUGGAGAGGGUAUGGAAGAGGGUGAGUUCGCAGAGGCUCGCGAGGACUUGGCUGCCCUCGAGCACGACUACGAAGAGGUGGCCCAGGAUUCGAACCAGGACGAGGACGAGGACAUCGAGUAUUAAGGAAGGGCGAGAAGAGACGGAGCGGCGGGAAUGUGAGGCCGUCGAGCGAGAUGGAGAGGGGAGAGACGGAAUGAGGGGGAAGAAGAAACGGAUAGAAAAGGAGACAGAUAAAAAAGAAGAGAUGGGAAGAGCUGGUGGACAUGAAAGACGAAGAAAGAGAGGGAUAACGACAAGGAGAAAGAGGGAAAAGAGAGAGAGAUAACAGCCUUUUAUUUGUUUGUUUAUGACUUGAACGCUAAAGUAUAAUAAGAGAGCUGGCUGGACUGCAGAUGGGACCAAAGAUUAGACAGUGAAAGGUGGAAGCCUAGUGCUCACUAAUUCAUAAGAUUAGUAGCAAUGUUAGUCAUGUUUGUUUUUGUUAAUUAUAUGAAUUGUUAAACGAAGGAAAACUUGAUCUGAAUACUUUAUGAACAGGGUAUAUGAUACGAAGCUUAUAGCCAAAGAAAUUCCAUAUUAAGAAAAUAUAAUAAUGGUGAAUACCAAAGACCAAACACAAUCCUUGAGAAAAGCAAAAGAGAGAUGCUAUUUCAGGAGAACAUUACAAGAGAAGACACAAAAAAGAUUAAACCAAACCCACAAGAGGUUAUACCUUAAAAAAAAUCUUUUCCUAAUCUUUGUAAAGGUUUGUCUCAAGUGAAAUGGCAAUGUUAAUGCUCAAUGGAACAUGUUCAUCAUGAUGCUCACUGCUCCUUAGUGUUGAAUAGCCUUCCAUUUUAUUCAAUUACAAUAAACUGCUUUACGAAAAAAUACAUUUCAGCCUCGGCAUAGGAGGCAGUAUACUACUCUAUUCAUCUGCAAUGAAAAUAAUGUAAAACAGACAUUUUUUCACGGAACUCCUAAGAAAUUAUAAGCUUUAGUUAUGAUUAGUGGAUGUCACUUAUAUGUUUGAUUCUAUACAAUGAAAAAAAAAAAUGAUAAAAAGACAAAAAAAUCGUUCCUCACUUUCCUUCGGCACAAGCAGCAACCUUCACACUGUGGCUUAAUGUUUACGAUAAGUGCCCGGCGGAACCCUAAGGGCGCCCGCCACGUGUUACUUACGGUAAGGACAUGUUUUCUACUCAUUUUGUAUAUUUCUUCAAUAAAAUAUAUAAGUUAUGAAGAA